rnacentral:rRNA from 1 species
CGGACGGGUGAGUAACGCGUGAGAAUCUGCCUACAGGACGGGGACAACAGUUGGAAACGACUGCUAAUACCCGAUGUGCCGAGAGGUGAAACAUUUAUGGCCUGUAGAUGAGCUCGCGUCUGAUUAGCUAGUUGGUGGGGUAAGGGCCUACCAAGGCGACGAUCAGUAGCUGGUCUGAGAGGAUGAUCAGCCACACUGGGACUGAGACACGGCCCAGACUCCUACGGGAGGCAGCAGUGGGGAAUUUUCCGCAAUGGGCGCAAGCCUGACGGAGCAACGCCGCGUGGGGGAGGAAGGUUUUUGGACUGUAAACCCCUUUUCUCAGGGAAGAAGAAAGUGACGGUACCUGAGGGAUAAGCCUCGGCUAAUUCCGUGCCAGCAGCCGCGGUAAUACGGGAGAGGCAAGCGUUAUCCGGAAUUAUUGGGCGUAAAGCGUCCGCAGGCGGUUAAUCAAGUCUGUUGUCAAAGCGUGGGGCUCAACCUCAUACAGGCAAUGGAAACUGAUUGACUAGAGUAUGGUAGGGGUAGCGGGAAUUCCAGGUGUAGCGGUGAAAUGCGUAGAUAUCUGGAAGAACACCAGCGGCGAAAGCGCGCUACUGGGCCAUAACUGACGCUCAUGGACGAAAGCUAGGGGAGCGAAAGGGAUUAGAUACCCCUGUAGUC